GAAGGUCACGGCGAGACGAGCCGUUUAUCAUUACGAUAGGUGUCAAGUGGAAGUGCAGUGAUGUAUGCAGCUGAGGAUGCCUAACAGACCGAUAGACUUGAAC
rnacentral:rRNA from 1 species